rnacentral:rRNA from 1 species
GACAGAGGGUGCAAACGUUGUUCGGAAUUACUGGGCGUAAAGCGCACGUAGGCGGCUUUGCAAGUCAGGGGUGAAAGCCCGGGGCUCAACCCCGGAAUUGCCUUUGAGACUGCAUCGCUAGAAUUGUGGAGAGGUAAGUGGAAUUCCGAGUGUAGAGGUGAAAUUCGUAGAUAUUCGGAAGAACACCAGUGGCGAAGGCGACUUACUGGACACAUAUUGACGCUGAGGUGCGAAAGCGUGGGGAGCAAACAGG